rnacentral:rRNA from 1 species
AACGAACGCUGGCGGCAGGCUUAACACAUGCAAGUCGAACGCCCCGCAAGGGGAGUGGCAGACGGGUGAGUAACGCGUGGGAACAUACCCUUUCCUGCGGAAUAGCUCUGGGAAACUGGAAUUAAUACCGCAUACGCCCUACGGGGGUAGGAUUUUUCGGGGAAGGAUUGGCCCGCGUUGGAUUAGCUAGUUGGUGGGGAAAAGGCCUACCAAGGCGACGAUCCAUAGCUGGUCUGAGAGGAUGAUCAGCCACAUUGGGACUGAGACACGGCCCAAACUCAUACGGGAGGCAGCAGUGGGGAAUAUUGGACAUUGGGCGCAAGCCUGAUCCAGCCAUGCCGCGUGAGUGAUGAAGGCCUUAGGGUUGUAAAGCUCUCUCACCGAUGAAGGUAAUGACGGUAGUCGGAGAAGAAGCCCCGGCUAACUCCGUGCCAGCAGCCGCCGUAAGAC